GGCGCUUUGGGAGGGGCCUGCGACCCAUCAGCUAGUUGGUAAGGUAACGGCUUACCAAGGCGAUGACGGGUAGGGGACCUGAGAGGGUGGCCCCCCACAAUGGAACUGAAACACGGUCCAUACACCUACGGGUGGCAGCAGUAGGGGAUAUUGGUGAAUGGGCGAAAGCCUGAACCAGCAACGCCGCGUGUGCGAUGAAGGCCUUCGGGUUGUAAAGCACUUUUUACCGGGAAGAGGAAGGACGGUACCGGUAGAAUAAGCCUCGGCUAACUACGUGCCAGCAGCCGCGGUAAAACGUAGGAGGCGAGCGUUAUCCGGAUUUACUGGGUGUAAAGCGCGUGCAGGCGGACGGGUAAGUUGGGUGUGAAAGCUCCUGGCUCAACUGGGAGAGGUCGCUCAAGACUGCCGGUCUAGAGGAUGGUAGGGGAAGGCGGAAUUCCGGGUGUAGUGGUGAAAUGCGUAGAUAUCCGGAGGAACACCAGUGGCGAAAGCGGCCUUCUGGACCAUAACUGACGCUCAGACGCGAAAGCUAGGGGAGCAAACGGGAUUAGAG
rnacentral:rRNA from 1 species